rnacentral:tRNA from 1 species
GGUCCCAUCGUCUAGGGGUCUAGGACGCCGGCCUCUCACGCCGGAAACCGGAGUUCGAAUCUCCGUGGGACCA